AGCGAACGCUGGCGGCAGGCUUAACACAUGCAAGUCGAACGGACCCUUCGGGGGUUAGUGGCGGACGGGUGAGUAACACGUGGGAAUGUGCCUUUAGGUUCGGAACAACACAGGGAAACUUGUGCUAAUACCGAAUGUGCCCUUCGGGGAAAGGAUUUAUUUGCCUUUAGUAGCAGCCCGCCGUCUGAUUAGCUUGUUGGUGAGGUAAAGGCUCACCAAGGCGACGAUCAGUAGCUGGUCUGAGAGGAUAGCCA
rnacentral:rRNA from 1 species